rnacentral:rRNA from 1 species
UAGGGAAUCUUCCGCAAUGGGCGAAAGCCUGACGGAGCAACGCCGCGUGAGUGAUGAAGGUCUUCGGAUCGUAAACCUCUGUUAUUAGGGAAGAACAAAUGAGUAAGUAACUAUGCACGUCCUGACGGUACCUAAUCAGAAAGCCACGGCUAACUACGUGCCAGCAGCCGCGGUAAUACGUAGGUGGCAAGCGUUAUCCGGAAUUAUUGGGCGUAAAGCGCGCGUAGGCGGGUUUUUAAGUAUGAUGUGAAAGCACACGGCUCAACCGUGGAGGGGCAGUGGAAACUGGAAAACUUGAGUGCAGAAGGGGAAAGUGGAAUUCCAUGUGUAGCGGUGAAAUGCGCAGAGAUAUGGAGGAACACCAGUGGCGAAGGAGACUUUCUGGUCUGUAACUGACGCUGAUGUGCGGAAGCGUGGGGAUCAAACAGG